GCUAUUUCUUGGGCCGCUCCUGCGGCAUAUGGAGGUUCCCAGGCUAGGGGUCUAAUCAGAGCUGUAGCUGCCGGCCUAUGCCAGAGCCACAGCAACGCGGGAUCCGAGCCGCAUCUGCAACCUACACCACAGCUCAGGGCAACACCGGAUCCUUAACCCCCUGAGCAAGGGCAGGGACCGAACCUGCAAACUCAUGGUUCCUAGUCGGAUUCGUUAACCACUGCGCCACGAUGGGAACUCCUACAGCUAAAUUUUCUAUAGGUAAAUUCUUCUCUGGAGAAUGUCAACUCUUUAUACUUAUGACUAUUAAUAAAUGUUUGAGAGUAACCAUUUCAAUGUACCUUUACUAAUAUUAGAAAAUAUCAUUUAAAAUUUUUUGCUUAUUUUUGUCUAAACUGAAGUUCUUAGGAAAGGAUUUUUUUUUGGUUUUGUUUUGUAUUUUGUUUUAUUAUUUUAAAAAUAAAGUGUAGUUGAUUUACAAUGUUUCUUCCAUUUCUGUUGUUCAGCAAAGUGGCCCAAUCACACACUGUUCCCUGUGCUAUAUAGGAGGACCUCGCUGCCCAUUCAUUCCAAGUUUAACAGUUUGCCUCCACCAAUCCCAAACAUCCUGUCCAUCCCACUCCCACCCCCUGCCACCCCUGGCAACCACAAGUCUGCUCUCCUUGGCCUUGAUCUGUUUAAAAAUAUUGUGCUUUGGAAUAGGUCAAGUUUCUUCAGUGGUAAAUAAAGCCAUUCCCAUGUUUGUUAAGAGUGGGUGAUGGAGGGAAGUCAAUAUCAAUAUCCAUCCAGAAUAUUUUAAUCUGGAUAGGAAAAUUAUACUUUCAGAAAUUUACUUCUCAUGAGAAAAUUCAUCCAGUAAUUUUUUUUCACCUCUGUAAGUUUAAAUCUCACUAUCAUGUACCUAGCAUACCAUGACACUGAGAAAUGAAACACAUCUCCAAUAAAUAGUGUCUGAUGAUCAAUGUUUUCUGUGUUUAAUUUAGUUACUCUAUAUUCACAUAUACACACGAUAGAAUGAACAUUAACAAUGACAUUGUGAUGUAGGAAAACCUGGGUACUUGCUUGCUUCUGAUGAUUUCAUACACCACUACAUUCAAGAAGAAAGACAUAUAAAGGGGAUUGAGAAUAAAGCUUUGGAAAUCUAUCUUAGCAUAGUAAAUGAUAAGAAAUAAUAACUUAUGUACAUAAUGAUUUUCUUAAAGAGGGGAAAAUAAAACUCUCUAAACAUUAAAAGGAAGUAAAGUACUAACAUAUGUUACAUCAAUGAUAAGCUAUAUUAUACUUUUAAAUAAAGAACAAUUAAAAAAAUUAUUAAGUAAUCUGGAAUAUGCUUAUGCUACUAUUUAGUUAUAAAACACUAAAACCAAAUUUUCGUGCAUACUUGAUCAGGUGUUAAAAUUUUGAGGAGGCAAGAAAUUAAAGUUAAUAUAUGUUUAUUUAACAACCGUUGUUAAUGAUGUUCUAGGGACAAUGAUAUAAAACUUUAAGAAAGGAAAAGUCUGACUCAAGAAUGUGUAUCCUAUAUUGAGAAGGGAAUCUGUUUUACUUAAAAGAUAAGGAAAUAUUGUGAAAUCUUUAAAACAUACAGUAUUCUUUCUUGAAAUAACGAAAUAUAUACGUCAUGUUUAUAUACAUGAUGUAAAUAUCCAACAGAAUACUACUCAGUCAUAAAAAAGAAUGAAAUAAUGCUACUGCAGCAUUAUAGAUAGAUCUAGAGAUGAUCAUACUAAGUGAAAUAAGUCAGAAAAAGACAAAUAUGAUAUCACUUAUAUGUGUCAUCUAAAAUUUGUGACAAAUGAAUAUAUUUACAAAACCCAGACUCAUAGGCGUAGAAAACAAACUUAUGUUAACCAAAGGGAAAAGGAGGUGGGGAGGGGUAAAUUAGGAGUUUAUGACUAGCAGAUAUUAACUGCUACACACAAAAUCAAUAAACAGCAGGUUCCUACUAUAUGGCAGAGGGAAGCAUAUUGAAUAUCUUGUAGUAAACUAUAAUAGAAAAUAAUUAGAAAAAAUAGAAAAUUAAUUCCUUCUCAGACAAUGUUUUUGAGAUUUAAUUCGUAUUAUGCUUUGUUCAUUUUUUAUUUCUAAGUAGUUUCCCAUUAUAUGGAUAUAUCACAGUUUAUUUCUGUAUAUGCCAACAUAUGUUUGAGUUACUUUGCGGAAAUAUGCCAUUGCUUUUAGAUAAAAAUCCUAAUAUUUGCUGGAUCAUAGUUAUACAAGAACUAAAACACUAUAGAUAAUUUUAAGAGAAAAAAACUAAUUUUCCAAAGUAGAUGAAUUACUUUACAUUCCAUCGAGUGAUGUAUUAUGAGAAUUGUAGUAGAUUCCCAUUAUCAUUGUCUAUUGGUUUUUGUCAAUUGCUUUAAUUUUUGCUAUUGAUGUGGAUGUGCAGUGGUAUCUCAAAUAGUUAUAAUUUACAUUUUCCUGACAAUUUUAUAGAUAUUGAAAUCCUUCUCAUACGUUACUGGGUCUUCACAAAUUUUCUUCUAUGAUAUAUCUAUUAACAUCCUAGAGUUUUUAAUUGUCUGGUAGUAUUUUGAUCAGUGAAAAGCGGAGGAUUUUUAUGUAUUCAGAAUAAAAGUCCUUGUCAAAAUGACAAAAUGUAUUUUUUUUCUGUUCUGUGACAUUCCUAGUCUUUCUGCUCCUCAAGUCUCUUCUCUUACUUCACUUUCCUGCUUCUCAUUCUCAUUAGAUGAACUCGCAGUGUUUACAGAGAAACUGGAGCUUUUGGACUGGAAUUCCCUCUUCCUUACAAUAAUAUGUGAUAAACUUAGCCACCUAUUGUAGCUAACUUCCAUUGUACGAGAUGUGAUGAAUGAUGUCUCUAUGUUAAAGUUCUCAUGAACAGUAUCAACAAC
ensembl:lncRNA